UAUCUCUGUAGAGUCUGCAUAUCAAUAAGCGGAGGAAAAGAAACUAACAAGGAUUCCCCUAGUAACGGCGAGUGAAGCGGGAAGAGCUCAAAUUUGAAAUCUUCAAGGUUUGACCUUGACGAAUUGUAGUUUAAAGAAGUGUUUUCGGUUAGAGGAGUAGUAAAAGUUCUUUGGAAUAGGACAUCAUAGAGGGUGAGAAUCCCGUAUUUGACUAUUCUUUCUAGCUUUGUGAUACACUUUCAAAGAGUCGGAUUGUUUGGGAAUGCAGUCCAAAAUGGGUGGUAAAUUUCAUCUAAAGCUAAAUAUUGGCGAGAGACCGAUAGCGAACAAGUACCGUGAGGGAAAGAUGAAAGGAACUUUGAAAAGAGAGUUAAACAGUACGUGAAAUUGUCAGAAGGGAAGCGUUUGACACCAGUGUUGUUUUUCCGAAAAUCAAUUAAGAAUUGAUUCAUGCCAGGUUGUAUUGACCUUAUCAGCUUGCAAUUUGGUUUUGGGUCUCUUUUUGAUGCACUUUUCGGUUAACAAGUCAACAUCAAUUUCCUUUGCUGUAAAAAGGUAAGAGGAAGGUGGCUUCAAUUUCGGUUGAAGUGUUUAUAGCCUUUUAUCUCUGCAGUCGGGGAGAUUGAGGUCUGCAGCGUAGAUCCUUCGGGGCUAGAUACAUUUAUGCUAAGUUAUAGCUUUUCAUAGACAACUUGUUGACUAUGUUUAGUCAUGUAGCUUACUCGUAAGUGCUAUUUUACCUACGCUUAGGAUGUUGAAGACUCUACAGAGAUA
rnacentral:rRNA from 1 species